CCUACGGGAGGCAGCAGUGGGGAAUAUUGGACAAUGGGGGGAACCCUGAUCCAGCCAUGCCGCGUGUGUGAAGAAGGCCCUCGGGUUGUAAAGCACUUUCAGUGAGGAAGAACGCCUGGUGGUUAAUACCCAUCAGGAAAGACAUCACUCACAGAAGAAGCACCGGCUAACUCCGUGCCAGCAGCCGCGGUAAUACGGAGGGUGCGAGCGUUAAUCGGAAUUACUGGGCGUAAAGCGCGCGUAGGUGGCUUGAUAAGCCGGUUGUGAAAGCCCCGGGCUCAACCUGGGAACGGCAUCCGGAAUGGUCAAGUUAGGGUGAAGGGAGGGAAGGUAGAAUUCCGGUGUAGCGGUGAAAUGCGUAGAGAUCGGGAGGAAUACCAGUGGCGAAGGCGGCCUUCUGGACUGACACUGACACUGAGGUGCGAAAGCGUGGGUAGCAAACAGGAUUAGAUACCCGUGUAGUC
rnacentral:rRNA from 1 species